GACGAACGCUGGCGGCGUGCUUAACACAUGCAAGUCGAACGGUGACGAGGAGCUUGCUCCUCCGAUCAGUGGCGAACGGGUGAGUAACACGUGAGUAACCUGCCCCAGACUCUGGAAUAACAGUUGGAAACAGCUGCUAAUACCGGAUACGAGACGGAGAGGCAUCUCUACCGUCUGGAGAGUUUUUCGGUCUGGGAUGGACUCGCGGCCUAUCAGCUUGUUGGUGAGGUAAUGGCUCACCAAGGCGACGACGGGUAGCCGGCCUGAGAGGGCGACCGGCCACACUGGGACUGAGACACGGCCCAGACUCCUACGGGAGGCAGCAGUGGGGAAUAUUGCACAAUGGGCGAAAGCCUGAUGCAGCAACGCCGCGUGAGGGAUGACGGCCUCGGUUGUAACCGUACUUUCUAGUAGGAAGGAAGACGAAAGUAGACGGUACCGUACAGAAGAAGACACCGGCUAACUAACGUGCCAGCAGCCGCGGUAACGUAGUCUACG
rnacentral:rRNA from 1 species